rnacentral:rRNA from 1 species
GAUCCUGGCUCAGGAUGAACGCUGGCGGCGCGCCUAACACAUGCAAGUCGAACGGCACCUGCCCUCGGGCAGAAGCGAGUGGCGAACGGCUGAGUAACACGUGGAGAACCUGCCCCCUCCCCCGGGAUAGCCGCCCGAAAGGACGGGUAAUACCGGAUACCCCGGGGUGCCGCAUGGCACCCCGGCUAAAGCCCCGACGGGAGGGGAUGGCUCCGCGGCCCAUCAGGUAGACGGCGGGGUGACGGCCCACCGUGCCGACAACGGGUAGCCGGGUUG